UACAGAGACUGCAAGCGUUUAUUCGGAUUCACUGGGCGUAAAGGGUGCGCAGGCGGCCAAGUGUGUCAGGUGUGAAAUCCCGAGGCUUAACCUCGGAACUGCGCCUGAAACUACUUGGCUAGAGUACUGGAGAGGGUAACGGAAUUCACGGUGUAGCAGUGAAAUGCGUAGAUAUCGUGAGGAACACCAGAGGCGAAGGCGGUUACCUGGACAGUUACUGACGCUCAGGCACGGAAAGCGUGGGGAGCAAAAGGG
rnacentral:rRNA from 1 species